UUCAAUAAUGAUUUCUCCUUUGGUCAACUUGGAAGCAACAAAGAAGAGAGCUAAGUAUUUUGGGUGUUUUUACUCUUCACUAAAAUCUCUGAGAUUAGGGACAUGUCAAGCUUCUACCUUGAGUAUGAGUGGCUUUGAAGGCUGUUAAUGUUACAGGGCUUGUAAAGAGCUCAUUAGAGCUUUGAACUCUUCCAGACUCCUGUGUUAUGCUGUGCGUCUGAUUCACUUGAUCCUGCAGCAGUUUUGUGGGCUGUAAUAAUCUUUGAAACAAUACUGUAUGUGAUUUUCAGCCAAUUUCCAACUUUUAUUGUGCUACUUUGCACUAAACUGCCUAUGCAUUUUACUGGUAGUUUUCUUCGUGAAACUCAAGGAUUACCCACCUUUCUUGAAUGUUUCUGUGCUUAAUUUUGUUUUGAAAGCUGUGUGUGAGAAAAAGGGCUGUGAAAAUCUUUGGACAGCAAGAAAGCACUUUGUCCUCCUUUGUUCUGUUUCUCCCCUUUCUAUGAAACUGCAAAGUACAUAAGACAUAUUUCCUUUCCAUGUAGUUAAGAUGGCUUUAUUCUUUUAUUAAGGUACAUAUUUCUUUUGAAGAUGUUGAAAUGAAGUGCUGAGUUUCACAAAGCUCUUGCAGUUUACUAGAAAACUUUCUGUGGACCAAGGCAAAACAGUACUGUAUUUGUCACUGAAGAACUGAAGCAUUAUCAUUUCAGUCAAGUAAUUUAAACUGAUGUGCUGGUCUCCUUUUUAAAAAUUAGAUUAAUAUUUCCAUUGUCUGAGCCAGUUAGAACUUGAGUAACUAGUCUCAAGAAUUCUCUUUUAUGCAUGCGUACAACUCUUACCAUAAUCAAUAUUAGUUUAAAUUUUGAAAUAUAACUGAAUUCAAUAUAAAUUGGAAUGCAUUUUACAUGCAUAUUGAAAAGUGCAUUUGUAAGCCUUUGGUAUCAAAUCCUUAGACUUUUUAUUCGAAUUUGAGCUGUGCAGAUAUUUACAUAUUCCAUUCUUAACAAAAAAUAUACUUUUGGCAAAAUAAUUUUCAAUAAGUUUCUUUGAAUUAAUUUUUCAUUGACAUCUGUGCAACUUGAAACAAAAUAUUUUACUAUCCAUAUUUUAAAUUCCACAACUAUCCAUAUUUUAAAUAAAAUACUAUUUCAAUGCAAAAAAUAAAGCUCUUACCUCAAAGAAACACAAGGUUACCAUAAAAAAAGUAUCACUUAGAAAUUCUCAAUGCAAUGUUUAUUAAUUCAGUAGGAGUUUGUCAAAUAUUUUAAGAAGUUUCCUUCCUUAAUUUUCAGGCAGAAAGAUUUUAACUCAAUGGUUCUAUUGAAACCUUCCUCUCACAUCUAAUGAACUGUAUUAGAACAGAAAUUUAACAUUCACUUGAAUAUUAACAUUGUAAUAAAUGUAAGAGUAAUAGGCUUUUUCACUUUAAGCUGGAAUGACACAGAAUACAACAUAUAUACUAUAUAUGUAAAAUACUAAGGAGGAAAUCAGCUUCCACAAUUAACUUUUGACACCACUGAAGACCCUAGUUGGAAGCAAAGAAAGAUGAACAGCUAAGUACAAAAUUUAACAGCAUUGUCACGGCUCUGUAGGCAGUUGCAAAUUCUGACAUUGGUCUUGCCAGGGUCAAAGAUACUUUUCAGGUUAUUGGUCUUUAACACAGAUGUUUUUCUGCAAAGAUGCCUGGUAAUCAGUUUCCUUUUUCUCUCAGAGUGCCUAUGAGUUUGCAGACACAUCAUUCAUCACCAUCUUUAUAUGAGGCCAAAAAAAGGUUAGGGUACUUGCUUUGUGGUAACCCCUCAUGAAAUAUUUCUUUCAGCUAAAGUCUGCCUUAACCAACUGAAAAAGUAUCUGGGACUUUUAACUAUAGUAUAAAGACUGAAUCCAUUCUAGUUUCCUUAAGAAAAGUAAUAGCCAACAUUUCAGCUUUAAAUUGAAAUUAAGAGAAAUGUACAGUCACUUCUCCCUAUGUCCCCAGAAUCUCAGACAUUAGGUGCAGUGGCUGUGAUAAAAAGGAAGAAAAUUACUUUGGAAUGGGUAAAAAAGAUAUGGUUCUUCUUCCAAACUUUUGAACAAUCUCACAUAGAUUGACUUCAGCUUCUUAAAAUGCAUUGCGACAAACUAGCUGCAUCUUAUUUUCGUGUCUCGUUCACUCUUCAAAGUGAGUUUCUGGUGUUUGCUAUUUUGUGAUGAGCUGUUAUAUGCAGUUCUGUGGUGCUAAACUCUAUAAACAUUGCUUGAUGGAUUACAGUUUGUAAACAAUUUCUCCCCCGAAGUCCAUUUGGCUUGACUAAAGAUAAGACACCAAUGUGUCAGGGCAUACUUUCUCCUAAGAUAAGUUGCUAUUUAAUUAAAUCUUUUUCAUUUCUAUCACAUAUGAAAUAUGAGAUCCCUGGUAUUAAAAAGGGGAGAGAGAAGAAAGAAUGAAAGCAUCUUCCUGUAAUUACAGGGCAUAAACCCUGUCAGAGAAAAGAUAUAGACCUCUCAUUAUACGUUUUCUUUUCCUGCCUAACUAUCUUUUCGCAAUUUUUUUCUGUCUUGCUGAUAGCUACCAAACCUCAUAGACACAUUUUUCUACUUGCAUAGUGUUCAAGCAAAAUCAGGGUCCCAGAAGACAGGUCUACAUGAUUCAGAAGGCGAGUCGCAUUGAGGAAGUUCAAACUGCUCAAUAAAACAUCUCAAGCAAGUUCAAAUGGGAUAUGUGCACCUUGGAUAAUCUUGAAGGAGCUGCUGACAAAUCUUAUGCGUGUGGCUAGGAAAUUUGGGGGAACAGAGGAUCAGUGAGAAGAAAACGAAGGCGGAAUCUUAAACUUAACAGACUAUAUGGAUCAACUAGAGAGGACCCAUCAGGAUGGUGUGGUUUUUUUUUUUUUUUGGUAUCUGAACUUGCCCACAUUUCUGGUGCAACAUUGGGUCUUUCAGGAACUGAGGUCUUGUUUUUAUGCUGUACCUGUGAAUUCAAUCAUGUUUUGAUCACUGAAUGUGGUAGGAACAGAAAUGCUUGUCUUCAAACUUACAUACUAUCAACAGCUUUUGUUACUCUGUUAUUAUUUUAAAAUUCUUUUGUGCAAUGUGUGUCCUAAUACUGAUAGACAAUACUGGAAUUUUUCCUGACUGAGAAGCAAUUCCAAAACUAGCAUUUCAAAAAUAUUAAAAAUAUGCAGUGUAAAUGUUUUCUCUGACACUGGAGGACACUGAAAGUGCAAUCAUUAUUUUUGGUGCAAUCAUAAAAUCACAAUCUUCAUAGAUAAAGUGUAAUUGUUGAUGUCAUGUUUGUUUUGCUUGGGCUAGUAGUAACCAAACAUAUUUGUCUUAAAUCAGCUUAAAGGCUCACUGAAAAUUACACCUUUGUUAAAGAAAACUAAUAAGUAUGCGAGGAACUGUGUUCUUAUUGUUCAACAGACUUCAUACAAUAGCAAAGGAAAAUAUAUAUAUUUUAAUUAUCUUUUAAAUCAAGAAGUAUGUGCUGGACUAGCCAUUACUAACUCCCAAAGUCUUUCCUCAACCUUUGGAGAUUAGAUUUCUUCUUGGCAGGUGAACAAAAACAAGUAUUAACAAUUCAUAAGACCUACCUUUAUUUUUCUCAGUAGAUCCUCUAUUCAUACUUAACAUGCAGGAGGUAUAUAUUGUCUGAAGAGGAAAACCAACAUUAGAGGGAAAUACAUUGUCAUUCUAUACAAUUGCUCUUCUUCAAAAUGGUGUUAUUACAGGUGCCAUUACCUCUGGUGAUUGUGGUAUUUUGUCUUUGUGCUAUCUGAGAUCUCUUUCUUCUCAUGUCAGUUUUGAUGUGUUACUAUGUCUAUAAAAAAUAUUCUAAUAAGCAUAACAUUUCAUAGACAACUUGGGGAGAGAAAAACAGCGCUUGCUUUGUGUUCGUUGUGAUGUAAGUUCUCUUGAACUCCUGACUGGCCAAUUAUUCCAGCUCUAUUGGAAAGCAGAGCAGGUGCUAGGACACAACUUGAGAAGUUACAUCCAUUAUCUGUUGAAGUCCACUGUAGUGCCCUGAGGCUACAAUAUCCCUUCAGUUUUGCUCCUUGUUUCCACAGUGAAACUAGUAAAUGAAUCAAGCUCAGACCAUAAAUAGGAAUAUAAGACAGAUGAAAAGUAUGCUGUAAAUUCAUAACUGCCAUGGACUCAAGUAGCUUCUCCAAAACCAAAGGAAAAAUAACUAUUCCUGUGAAAGGAAUACACAUAUAGAUGCUAUACACCUCUUUUUCUUAUCAAUCUUGUAUGUUUUCUUACGGCUCUGGUGAAAUACAUCUUAAGAUUUAAAAUUCUAAAUUCAUUGCUCUUCAGAGAAUAUUUUUUUUUUGUGCGAAGUCUGAGAAUUUCUCUUGUACAUCUGUUUGCAAGAGAGCUCUUACUUACAUUAAAAACAUGAGUCAGGCUUCUCCUGCUCCUUAUCUGGAAGCUCUUGCAUUAUCUGCUAAACUCUGUAAUAAAUCCUUGACGUAUAUGUUUUUUGUCGUUGAUUUGGUACCUGCUUUGACUUUCAUAUCUUAACUGCAUUAGGCCAGAAGCUACAUAUUUAUUUUUUCUAAUCUCUAGCUUCGAGAAAAGUUAGGUCUUGGGAUGUCUACAAGUGGAUUAUGCCUCUGCAGUGCAUAAAAGAAGGUAAAGCCAUAUGCAGACUCUUUCUUGUACCUCCUCCAUGGAGUUGUUCCUCCAAGGAAAAGAUUUUCUGUUUACUCUGCCAUUCUACAGUGCAGUGAUACUGAACAAGUUUGGGGAAAAAAUGUCGAUGUAGGUUAGGCUGGGUUACAAGGUCUGUGCAGUGGCUGAAUGAUGAAAGAAAUCCUCAUGGAGUGCUUAUGUGUUUAUAUGGGACAGAUCACUGAAACAGCUAGGAUAACUUAAAGGUCUUCAUAAAUUAAUUUACUGAAGUUAAUAGUGAGUUUUCCUUCACUUUGAACUGAAUCUCACCACCAUUCUUAUUUUGGGACCAUACAGUAUUUCGUGAAGUCCUUUUGGAAAUGGAAAUGUGCAAUGCAUGCUUCCAGUAGCAUUCCUGAAAAGAUUUCCUCCGUGAACAUUCGCAUGUCAAGUCUACAUCUUGGCUGCUCUGUCUCAUGUUGGACUUACUUAAUGUAUGCAAUUGAAUAAAGACCUAAGAUGAACUCCGUUGUAACUCAUUCCUUCCCUUCCAAGUGCUCCUAUAUUCAGCAUAUGUAUACACUGGGAAAAAACACCCUUUGUAUACAGCUGUGUGAUUGCCAUUAGCCUGGUUAGUCCUCCUGAGUUCCUGUUGUGUGAAAUGACAUGUUUGUACUUCCACCUACUGAGAUAAAAUAUCAAAAUCUUUCUGUUAAUCCUCGCAAA